AACGAACGCUGGCGGCAGGCCUAACACAUGCAAGUCGAGCGAAGCCUUCGGGCUUAGCGGCGGACGGGUGCGUAACGCGUGGUAACGUGCCCUUGGGUACGGAAUAGCCCCGGGAAACUGGGAGUAAUUCUGUAUGUGGUCGAGAGACGUAAGAUUUAUCACCAAAGGACCGGCCCGCGUUGGAUUGGGUAGUUGGUGGGGUAAUGGCCUAUCAAGCCGACGAUCCAUAGCUGGUUUGAGAGGAUGAUAAGCCACACUGGGGCUGAGACACGGCCCAGGCUCCUACGGGAGGCAGCAGUGGGGAAUCUUAGACAAUGGGGGAAACACUGAUCUAGCCAUGCCGAGUGAUCGAUGAAGGCCUUAGGGUUGUAAAGAUCUUUCAGUGGGGAAGAUAAUGACUGUACCCACAGAAGAAGCCCCGGCUAACUCCGUGCCAGCAGCCGCAGUAAUAC
rnacentral:rRNA from 1 species